rnacentral:rRNA from 1 species
GAUGAACGCUGGCGGCGUGCCUAAUACAUGCAAGUCGAGCGAACAGACGAGGAGCUUGCUCCUCUGACGUUAGCGGCGGACGGGUGAGUAACACGUGGAUAACCUACCUAUAAGACUGGGAUAACUUCGGGAAACCGGAGCUAAUACCGGAUAAUAUAUUGAACCGCAUGGUUCAAUAGUGAAAGACGGUUUUGCUGUCACUUAUAGAUGGAUCCGCGCCGCAUUAGCUAGUUGGUAAGGUAACGGCUUACCAAGGCAACGGUGCGUAGCCGACCUGAGAGGGUGAUCGGCCACACUGGAACUGAGACACGGUCCAGACUCCUACGGGAGGCAGCAGUAGGGAAUCUUCCGCAAAGGGCGAAAGCUUGACGGAGCAACGCCGCGUGAGUGAUGAAGGUCUUCGGAUCGUAAAACUCUGUUAUUAGGGAAGAACAAAUGUGUAAGUAACUAUGCACGUCUUGACGGUACCUAAUCAGAAAGCCACGGCUAACUACGUG